CAGUCGCCGCGGUAAUACGUAGGGUGCGAGCGUUAAUCGGAAUUACUGGGCGUAAAGCGUGCGCAGGCGGUUUUGUAAGACAGGCGUGAAAUCCCCGGGCUCAACCUGGGAAUGGCGCUUGUGACUGCAAAGCUAGAGUGCGGCAGAGGGGGAUGGAAUUCCGCGUGUAGCAGUGAAAUGCGUAGAUAUGCGGAGGAACACCGAUGGCGAAGGCAAUCCCCUGGGCCUGUACUGACGCUCAUGCACGAAAGCGUGGGGAGCAAACAGGAUUAGAUACCCCCGUAGUCCCUGUCUCUUAUAC
rnacentral:rRNA from 1 species